CGAAACUCAACAAGUGACAGUUUAACAAGCACUUCAUACACAAGGCACGGUUCUGCAUGCUGAGAGCACUGAAGCAAGCAAGCCAGAGCUCCGGAGGGGAGACGGAUAAUAAACAGGCAGCAGACACAUAGGAGGUGAUUUUAUAUUGAUGAACUCAGUGAAGAAAUGCAACCUGGAGGUAAUACUUUAAGAGGUCAGAAGAAAGGAGGUGAUGCUUGAGAUGAGACCUACCUGGCAGCAAGAGUACCGCCAUUGCAAACACUGGAGAUGGAGGCACGCCGUGAUAUGUGCUCCAUGGGCUCACAGUUCAUUGCGGGAAACAGCCAGGUUGACAAUGAUACUAACAAUCACAAUGCCCUGUAAAUGUGAAUGAAGUGGUUCUUGCUCAUAGAGAACCCAGGUGGACCGGCCACACUGAAAGGGGCAUAUGUUCACAGCUCAUGAAAGUGCUGUGUGCGAAAUAAGAAAGUACAACUAAUUGCAACUGGGCCAAAGACCACGUCUUGUUUGUUAAGAGCCAGACACCGAGGCAGUGAAAAGGAAGGAAAGACAAUUUACCCUGCGCCCACGACGGACAGGUCAUGCAUUUGUUGUUAGCCUGUUCUUUCUCAUCUUUAGAAUGUCGAUACUAAUACACGACCCUCAAUGUUAUUUUGCUGUGAACAUUUACUAAGAAAAUAUCCAUAAAAUACUGUACAAUUUCAAAUUUGUGCAUCAUAUUUAUAUAUACACCUGUGUGCAUGUGUAUGUAUGAACCCGCACACAUACACACACAUAGAUACAUGCAUACAUACAUAUACGUAUAUGUAAAAUAUCAUUCAUAUUUUCAUUGAUGUAGCAUAAUAUGUAAACAUGAAUUCAUACAGCAGGCUUGGAAAUAUGAUGAGAAGGAUUUUUUAUUAGAAGCAAAGACAGAUAGCUCAGUUUCUUCAAUCCAAAUUGGAGCAUUUUAUCUUAGACAUUUUGCUAGUUUACUUACUACUGUCAAGAUAAUAUCUGCUACUUCGGGACAGGGGUAAUGUAGUUUUCUUCUUAUAUGACUGAUAAACAUCAACAAUUUU
rnacentral:lncRNA from 1 species